rnacentral:rRNA from 1 species
UACAGAGGUCCCAAGCGUUGUUCGGAUUCACUGGGCGUAAAGGGUGCGUAGGUGGUCGGGUAAGUCUGAUGUGAAAUCUCGGAGCUCAACUCCGAAACGGCAUUGGAUACUAUCCGGCUUGAGGAUCGGAGGGGGGACUGGAAUUCUCGGUGUAGCAGUGAAAUGCGUAGAUAUCGAGAGGAACACCAGUGGCGAAGGCGAGUCCCUGGACGACUCCUGACACUGAGGCACGAAAGCUAGGGGAGCAAACAGG